rnacentral:rRNA from 1 species
UACGUAGGGGGCAAGCGUUGUCCGGAUUUACUGGGCGUAAAGAGCGUGUAGGCGGCCAAGCAGGUCCGUUGUGAAAACUGGAGGCUUAACCUCCAGACGUCGACGGAAACCGCGUGGCUAGAGUCCGGAAGAGGAGAGUGGAAUUCCUGGUGUGAGCGGUGAAAUGACGCAGAUAUCAGGAAGAACACCAAUGGCGAAGGCAGCUCUCUGGGACGGUACUGACGCUGAGACGCGAAAGCGUGGGGAGCGAACAGG